GUCACACUAUCAUUAACUGAAUCCAUAGGUUAAUGAGGCGAACCGGGGGAACUGAAACAUCUAAGUACCCCGAGGAAAAGAAAUCAACCGAGAUUCCCCCAGUAGCGGCGAGCGAACGGGGAGGAGCCCAGAGCCUGAAUCAGCAUGUGUGUUAGUGGAAGCGUCUGGAAAGGCGCGCGAUACAGGGUGACAGCCCCGUACACAAAAGCGCAUGUGCUGUGAGCUCGAUGAGUAGGGCGGGACACGUGGUAUCCUGUCUGAAUAUGGGGGGACCAUCCUCCAAGGCUAAAUACUCCUGACUGACCGAUAGUGAACCAGUACCGUGAGGGAAAGGCGAAAAGAACCCCGGCGAGGGGAGUGAAAAAGAACCUGAAACCGUGUACGUACAAGCAGUGGGAGCACCCUUUGGGUGUGACUGCGUACCUUUUGUAUAAUGGGUCAGCGACUUAUAUUCUGUAGCAAGGUUAACCGAAUAGGGGAGCCGGAGGGAAACCGAGUCUUAACCGGGCGUUAAGUUGCAGGGUAUAGACCCGAAACCCGGUGAUCUAGCCAUGGGCAGGUUGAAGGUUGGGUAACACUAACUGGAGGACCGAACCGACUAAUGUUGAAAAAUUAGCGGAUGACCUGUGGCUGGGGGUGAAAGGCCAAUCAAACCGGGAGAUAGCUGGUUCUCCCCGAAAGCUAUUUAGGUAGCGCCUCGUGAAUUCAUCUCCGGGGGUAGAGCACUGUUUCGGCUAGGGGGCCAUCCCGGCUUACCAACCCGAUGCAAACUGCGAAUACCGGAGAAUGUUAUCACGGGAGACACACGGCGGGUGCUAACGUCCGUCGUGAAGAGGGAAACAACCCAGACCGCCAGCUAAGGUCCCAAAGUCAUGGUUAAGUGGGAAACGAUGUGGGAAGGCCCAGACAGCCAGGAUGUUGGCUUAGAAGCAGCCAUCAUUUAAAGAAAGCGUAAUAGCUCACUGGUCGAGUCGGCCUGCGCGGAAGAUGUAACGGGGCUAAACCAUG
rnacentral:rRNA from 1 species